GAUCCUGGCUCAGGAUGAACGCUAGCUACAGGCUUAACACAUGCAAGUCGAGGGGCAACAUGGUCUUAGCUUGCUAAGACCGAUGGCGACCGGCGCACGGGUGAGUAACGCGUAUCCAACCUGCCCUACACUCUUGGACAGCCUUCUGAAAGGGAGAUUAAUACAAGAUGUUAUCAUGAGUAAGCAUUUUCGCAUGAUUAAAGGUUUACCGGUGUAAGAUGGGGAUGCGUUCCAUUAG
rnacentral:rRNA from 1 species